rnacentral:lncRNA from 1 species
CUUUUCUUUGCAAACUUCUGCAUCCUUUUCUCGGCAAACUUCUGGUGAUAGCGCUCAACGUUUCGUUCAAUGUUUAACCAGAUAUGCCAAGAACUCGGAAUCUAUUACUCAAGUUGUUUUCACCCCAGCCAAUGCCUCAUACAAUCCUAUUUUGCAGCUUAACUUGCAAAACCUUCGGUUCAAUACUUCCGGGACGCGUAAACCUCUAGCCAUUGUUACACCAGUUGAGGACACUCAAGUCCAAGCGGUGAUUUACUGUGCUAGAAAAAAUAGCAUGAACGUUCGGACUCGUGGCGGAGGCCACGAUUUCGAAGGUGUUUCGUAUACAGCUGAUGUGCCGUUUGUGUUACUUGAUAUGAUUAAUUAUAAUAGAGUUAAUAUAGACUUGAAAACAAGCACUGCAUGGGUUCAGUCUGGUAUUAGCCUUGGGGAAUUUUACUAUAAAAUUUCUCAAACAAGUGAUGUUCUGGCGUUCCCGGCUGGUUUAGUGUCGACGGUUGGACUUACCGGCCUUCUUGGUGGUGGAGGAUAUGGUAUGAUGAAGAGAAAGUACGCUCUUGCUGCUGAUAAUACACUGGAUGCACGUAUUGUGGAUUACAAUGGGAAAAUUCUCGACAGAAAAUCUAUGGGAGAAGAUCUGUUUUGGGCUAUUAGAGGUGGUGAUCCUGCUAGUUUUUGCGUUAUUCUCGAGUUGAAAUUGCAGUUGGUUCCUGUCCCCAAAUUAGUGACCUAUUUUGCAGUCCAAAGAACUCUGGAACAAAAUGGAUCAGCGCUAUUCCAAAAAUGGCAAUCCACAGCAGUCAAUGUGUUUCCAAGAGAUCUUGAUGUUAGAGUCGUGGUGGAUACUAUUACAAGCAAUUCAAGUGCCCGCGAAGAUAAGAAAACAGUUAGAUUCAUCUUCCAGUCAUUGUAUCUUGGUAAAAUUGACACCUUACUUCCGAUUAUGAAAGAAUAUUUCCCUGAGCUGGGCUUGGUGAGAGAGGAUUGUGUCGAAACCAGUUGGAUCAAAACGGCGCCCAUGUUUUCAUUUUUUCCGGUAGGAACUGAUCCAAAAAUAUUACUCAACAAAACGGCCCCUACAAGAAAUCCUGUCAAGAUAAAGUCGAGUUUCACGACGCAACCAAUUUCUUUGGAAGGACUCAAUGGUAUAUGGGACUUGUGGCUCAAGCAACCAGUACAAACCACGCUCAUUCAAUACACUCCAUUCGGUGGGAAAAUGAACGAGUUUGCAGAGUCUGCACUUCCAUUUCCCCAUCGUCCUGGUGUGUUGUACAUGAUCAACAUCGCCGUGACUCUGAACCAAAAUGCGGAAGCAACUUUACAGUGGAUUAAUGAUCUGUUUAAAUACUAUACUCCAUAUGUGACCAAGAACCCUAGAACUUCAUAUGUGAAUUACAGGGAUGCUGAUCUCGGAACAGGAAGCAAGACAUAUCAAGAGGCAAGCAUAUGGGGGAGGAAGUAUUACAAGAAUAAUUUUGAUAGGUUAGUGAAGAUUAAGUCUGUAGUUGACCCUCAAAAUUUCUUCAACCACAAGCAAAGCAUUCCUCUACUCAUGUGAUACAAACAAACUAGUAUCCGUGGUUAGUUAAUUUCUUGAGAAAAUGUGUCAUGGUUAUUUGGCUGUGUAAAUGUUUGUUCAAAGUGAAAUAAAUCAUAUCUUUUCCAAUGAUUGUGAAGUAAGAAUGUCUCAGUUAAUAGGCCCAUUAAUAUAUUAAAAUUUUAAGGACUUUUUUGAUUAUAUAAUAAAUAAUAAAUAUAUAAGUAAAAUAUUAUUUAGUAACUAUAUUUCGAUAAGUAAGAAUUAUAUAUUUACAUUAAUUUAAUAAUUUGGCUUUGUCUUACAUCUAUUCAAAGUUAACUUUUAAUGCUUCUUUCUUAAGGAUAAGUAAUUUAUCACUAAAAAGUCAUAACACCAUUUAUAAAAAUAUUUUUCUUAAAAUAUUUUUCCAUCACCAAAUUUACUACCACACAUUAUAUGUUAUAUUAACUAGUUUUUCUUAAAAUAUUUCAGAACUAAAAAAUAGUAAAUUAUAUAAAUAAGAGAUGGUAACAUGAUUUUUAAACCUGGAAGAGGUCAGAAAUCCGAAGAUUCCUAAAUUGAUGCCACGCACGUACAUGCUUUUAAAAACUUAUACUCCCUCCGUUCUUAAAUAUCUGCCUUUUGACUUUUUGACACGCAUCUUAAAGUGUUUUGACUAUAGAGUUAAAAAUAUUAUUUUCGAAUUUUUUUUCUGAAUAAAAAUAUUAUAUCAACAAUUUUAUUCACAAAAUGAAAUACUUGAAAAUAACAUUUCUACCUAUGUAGUCAAAGCACCUUAAAAUGUGUGCCGAAAAGUCAAAAGGCAGAUAUUUAAGAACGGAGGGAGUAUCUCCUAAGAGAGGGAAUCAAAUCCGGAGAGAUGCUCAUAAAAGUUAGAAAAAUGUUCACGUUCUAGGCAUUUAAUGAAUCCAACUAAAAGGGUUGCAAUGAAGGAGCUGGUGUGAGCCGAUCUUAAAGUCCUCUUCAAUUACCAGAUACAUGGUCUAUGAACAGCAUUCUAAAGAUUAAACACUUCUACUCCUAAUUAUUAUUAAGUCGUCUGAUCAGUUGGCAUAUUGAAAUGGUCUUUGGGUAGACAGCUUUAUAGUCUCUGUCCUAUAAUCAAACACACAUAUGUGCAAAUGUAUAUGCUCCUUUGAUCUCCAUCUUUCUGACAAAUUAAUCCCUGGUAAUUUAUCAACUCUAGCCAGCUCAAAGGGAUACCCAUUGUGUUCUAUAUAUAGAGCAUUGCUGAGAACUUGAUUUUCAAUUUUUUAACCUACUGAAAUCUGGUGUUCCGCCACUGCUUGUGUACACACAAGCUAGCUAGGAAAACUGUAAUUUAUUUUAUAAAAUAAACUUUCUUUGAAUAGUUAAAAUGAACUUAAUCAGCGAAACACUUCCGAGUUGAAGAUAAAAAUAAAUGAUAAAGCAUACAUGUAAAUGUGAGUUGACACAACUAACGGGGGUGUAUUCGAUUGGGAUUUUAAUGCAUUGUUUUUAGUCUAUGGAUUUUAAUGAAUUGUACGGGAUUUUGAUUUUGUGCGGAUUCUUGAUGAAAUGUCGCAGAGUUGAUAGGAUUUAGGUACAAUGCUUCAAAAUCCCAUUGAAUUUGAUUGGAUGUCAAAAAACUUACAAUACACUGAAGAAUGACACAAAAUCCAUCAUUUUAUGAAAUGAAAAAAAAUCCAUCAGCAUUUGAAUACCAUCAGAUUUUAAUGGAUUUUAAACAAUCCCAAUUGAAUACCAUCGGAUUUUAAAGCAUAAUUUAAAAUCCCAAUUGAAUACCACCAGAUUUUGUAGCAUAAUUUAAAAUCCCAAUUGAAUACCUCAAGAUUUUAAUGGAUUUCAAACAAUCCCAAUCGAAUAUCCUCGGAUUUGAUGAAUGCAAAAAAAUACUUUAAAAUCUCAAUCCAAUACACUCCUCUAAAUUUGCAGUAGAGGCGCGAUUGCAGACCGAGUUGGUCAGCCGCGUAACGAAAUGAUCAAACAAUACAAACCGUUGACUCUAAAUCCAAUCCUUCAUGCCUCAACUUGCUUAUCGUAGAGUUCAUUGUUAUGUUUGUUCUGUCUGAUUCACGUAAAUUUCUCCCACGAUAUAUUCCAGCUAAUAUUCGGUAUAUAUAACCUCAAAUAAAUAUUUAUAUAUCUAGAACAUAUACUUUUUUUAAGCCUGCUCUGGAUCACGUGUGCUAUAUUAAAAUGUGACCCAUCAAAUUAUCUACAUUACCAUUUUCUCUGGAAUAAUAGUUUAUUUGUUACUCCCUCCGUCCCGGUCAUUUCCAUACUGUUUUCUUCUUGGGAUGUUCCAUCAUUUCUAUAUAUUCUUAAAAUAGCAACUUUUAAUAAUGUAAAACACUAUUACACCAACUACUUUCUUCCACUAUAUUCUUUUUAUAAUAAUAUAAACACUAUUACACCCAAUACUUUCCUCCACUAUCACAAAUCUAUAAUUAAAUACAAAUGUAUCCCACCAUUUUACCCAUUUUCAUCUAAUUUUACUCAGUUUUCACAAUUUUUCUUGGUCUCCGUGUCUACGUCAAAUGUAUAUAACCUAUUGGGACGGAAGGAGUAUAUCAUAUAUGUAGAUAUAUGAUAUAGAUAUAGAUAUUAUUCAUAGGUCAAAAACUACCGGAAACUGAUUUAUUUUAAAUAACUUUGACCAAAAUAUACAUACAUCUAAUCUAAUAAAAUAAAAUAUAAAACCUCACUUUCAAUUUAAAGGAGCUCAUUUGUUGGAUGGUUACGUGACUUAUGAUUUAACGUUACUUGUAUGAUAAACUGCUAGUUUAAAAUGUUUGAUUAGCUAAUUUUGACUUGAGUUAUUAAAUAUAUAAUGAUAAUAAUAAUAAAAAUGAUUUAUGGGCAACUUGAGUAUUACGAAUAAUUUUUAUCAAAAAAAUUUAAAAAAAAAUUAAGUCGCUAAAAAUAUUAUCUCAAACUAAAUUCUGACUAUAAGUCAGUUUCUGACUUAUUUAAUUUUAAGCUGGCUUUUAAUUUAUUAAAAAAUAAAUAUUUUUUAAUUUAAAAUUAAAAACAGUUUAAAGCCAGGACAAACGUUCUAAGCUCUCACGAUUUGACGACUUCUGCUCAGCAAUUAAUAUGAUACGAAAUGGUCGUGAGAAUGCAAUUACACGAUAUCCAACUUCAUACUUCAAUAAAGAAAUUAAUUUUUUCAGUCUUUACCACGAAAGCGAGUCGUCAUUCAUCAACGCUCGAGACUCUAUAAAUAGUUAGCUUCGUAUCAAUCAUUUCAUAUCAAAAGCAUAUUCAUCUCUAACAUACAGAUAUGGCAACUUCUUCAAUACUUUGUUCUUUUAUUCUUCUUAUUCUUUUCUCAUCCUUUUCUUUGCAAACUUCUGCUGAUAGCACUCAACGUUUCAUUCAAUGUUUAACCAAAUAUGCCAAGAACUCAGAAUCUAUUAGUCAAGUUGUUUUCACCCCAGCCAAUGCCUCAUACAAUCCUAUUUUGCAGCUCAACUUGCAAAACCUUCGAUUCAAUACUUCCGGAACCCGUAAACCUCUAGCCAUUGUUACACCAAUUGAGGAAACUCAAAUCCAAACGGUGAUUUACUGCGCUAGAAAAAAUAGCAUGAACGUUCGGAC